rnacentral:misc_RNA from 1 species
GAAAUGCGAUAAGUAAUGUGAAUUGCAGAAUUCAGUGAAUCAUCGAAUCUUUGAACGCACAUCGCGCCCUUUGGCAUUCCGAGGGGCAUGCCUGUUCGAGCGUCAUUACACCACUCAAGCCUGGCUUGGUAUUGGGCGACGGGGUGGACCCGCGCCUCAAUUUCACCGGCUGGACGCCCCGAUUCUCAGCGUUGUGAUUUAAAUUCGCUGCCGAGGAGGGUGGUCCGCGCCGUUAAAUCUCUAUCAUAAGGUUGACCUCGGAUCAGGUAGGGAUACCCGCUGAACUUAAGC